GAACGAGAAAGUGGAGCAAUCCAUGAGUAAAGUGGCGACCGGGUGAGUAACACGUAACUAACCUACCUCCGAAUGGGGAAUAACUCCGGGAAACCGGGGCUAAUACCGCAUAACACCGCAAGGUCAAAGCAGCAAUGCGUUUGGAGAGGGGGUCGCGGCUGAUUAGCUAGUUGGCGGGGUAACGGCCCACCAAGGCGAAGAUCGGUAGCCGGCCUGAGAGGGCGCACGGCCACACUGGAACUGAAACACGGUCCAGACUCCUACGGGAGGCAGCAGUGGGGAAUUUUGCGCAAUGGGGGAAACCCUGACGCAGCAACGCCGCGUGGAGGAUGAAGUCCUUUGGGACGUAAACUCCUUUCGACCGGGACGAUUAUGACGGUAUCCGGUGGAAGAAGCCCCGGCUAACUUCGUG
rnacentral:rRNA from 1 species